GCGUGGCAUACGGCUCAGUAACACGUAGUCAACAUGCCCAAAGGACGUGGAUAACCUCGGGAAACUGAGGAUAAACCGCGAUAGGCCAAGGUUUCUGGAAUGAGCCAUGGCCGAAAUCUACAUGGCCUUUGGAUUGGACUGCGGCCGAUCAGGCUGUUGGUGAGGUAAUGGCCCACCAAACCUGUUACCGGUACGGGCUUUGAGAGAAGUAGCCCGGAGAUGGGCACUGAGACAAGGGCCCAGGCCCUAUGGGGCGCAGCAGGCGCGAAACCUCUGCAAUAGGCGAAAGCCUGACAGGGUUACUCUGAGUGAUGCCCGCUAAGGGUAUCUUUUGGCACCUCUAAAAAUGGUGCAGAAUAAGGGGUGGGCAAGUCUGGUGUCAGCCGCCGCGGUAAUACCAGCACCCCGAGUUGUCGGGACGAUUAUUGGGCCUAAAGCAUCCGUAGCCUGUUCUACAAGUCCUCCGUUAAAUCCACCUGCUCAACAGAUGGGCUGCGGGGGAUACUAUAGGGCUAGGAGGCGGGAGAGGCAAACGGUACUCAGUGGGUAGGGGUAAAAUCCAUUGAUCUACUGAAGACCACCAGUGGCGAAGGCGGUUUGCCAGAACGCGCUCGACGGUGAGGGAUGAAAGCUGGGGGAGCAAACCGGAUUAGAUACCCGGGUAGUCCCAGCUGUAAACGAUGCAGACUCGGUGAUGGGUUGGCUUCGCGCCAACCCAGUGCCGCAGGAAGCCGUUAAGUCUGCCGCCUGGGGAGUACGGUCGCAAGACUGAAACUUAAAGGAAUUGGCGGGGGAGCACCACAAGGGGUGAAGCCUGCGGUUCAAUUGGAUUCAACGCCGGG
rnacentral:rRNA from 1 species